rnacentral:lncRNA from 1 species
GCCUUUUCUGCUCUUCUCUCUGUGUGAGUGAGGGACAAUGGCUGAGAGAGAGGGAGGUUUCAAAGCUCAAUAUGGAGGUCAAAUGGCUGAAAUAUUGGGAAAUUUUGGAACAAGAUGGAGAUAGAUUGAAACUGCAGAGUUUUGAGAAAUUAAAAAACAAAGUGCGAGACUGGCUUCAUUAUUAUCAGAUAAUGGAGGCAUAUAAUUUGGACAAGAAAAUUGGCUUCCAGGUGGAAAAAUCAAAAUUAGAAACAGAACUGUUAGAACCCAAAACUAAGAUUUUGUCAAAGAUGUAUAACUUGCUGUUGAAAUGGAAUACUCAGGAUGAAACGGUGAAAUCUGCUAUGAUUAAAUGGGCACAAGAUGUUGGACAUAACAUAAUGAUGGCUGACUGGGAACAGUUAUGGACCACAGGUAUGAAGUUUACGGCAUGCAAUGCCUUAAGAGAGAAUAUUAUGAAAAUGACAUACAGGUGGUACAUGACCCCAGUCAAGCUUGCAAAAAUCUAUCAUUUGCCCGAUAAUAAAUGUUGGAAAUGUAAAGAAACUGAAGGUACAUUCUUUCACCUUUGGUGGACGUGCCCAAGGAUUAAGGCUUUCUGGGAGAUGAUUUAUAAUGAAUUGAAAAAGGUAUUUAAAUAUACCUUCUUGAAGAAACCAGAGGCUUUCUCCUGGGCAUGGCCGGCCAAUUGGUGCCAAAGAGGGACAGAACUUUCUUUAUGUAUGCCACAACAGCAGCAAGAAUACUUAUUGCAAAGUAUUGGAAGACACAAGACCUACCCACUCUGGAAGAAUGGCAGAUGAAGGUGAUGGACUACAUGGAAUUGGCGGAAAUGACUGGCAGAAUCCGAGACCAGGGAGAAGAGUCGGUGGAAGAAGAUUGGAAGAAAUUUAAAUACUAUUUACACAAAUACUGCAAAAUUAAUGAAUGCUAGAAUGAUGUUGGAUUGAAUUUAAGUGGUUUUUAGCUGUAAUGGUAUAAAAGAAUAUGAAAAAAUGGAUUUUUAACAGGUAAAAAUUUAAUGCUAUAAUAUAUUAAGAUUAAAGAUCAGGAUAAAACAAAGAGGGAAAGGAUUUGCUGAACUAAUAAAUUGAACUGGAAUACAAAAAAGGGAGGUAUGAGGAGGUCCAGGAAACAAGCAAAUGAAAGAUAAGUGAUGGAAAGAUUGAAUUGUUUUUAACUAUUUUUAUUUUGUAUUUUUUCUCUUUUUCUUUUUCAUUUUGUAAUAUUGUGAAAACCUUAAUAAAUAUCUUUU